GACGAACGCUGGCGGCGUGCCUAAUACAUGCAAGUAGAACGCUGAAGGAGGAGCUUGCUUCUCUGGAUGAGUUGCGAACGGGUGAGUAACGCGUAGGUAACCUGCCUGGUAGCGGGGGAUAACUAUUGGAAACGAUAGCUAAUACCGCAUAAUAGUAGAUGUCGCAUGACAUUUGCUUAAAAGGUGCAAUUGCAUCACUACCAGAUGGACCUGCGUUGUAUUAGCUAGUUGGUGAGGUAACGGCUCACCAAGGCAACGAUACAUAGCCGACCUGAGUGGGUGAUCGGCCACACUGGGACUGAGACACGGCCCAGACUCCUACGGGAGGCAGCAGUAGGGAAUCUUCGGCAAUGGACGGAAGUCUGACCGAGCAACGCCGCGUGAGUGAAGAAGGUUUUCGGAUCGUAAAGCUCGGUUGUAAGAGAAGAACGAGUGUGAGAGUGGAAAGUUCACACUGUGACGGUAUCUUACCAGAAAGGGACGGCUAACUACGUG
rnacentral:rRNA from 1 species